GCACGGGGUNAGGUAACGCGUGGGCACCGUGCCCUGGGGUCGGGGAUAACCGGCUGGAAACGGCGGCUAAUACCGCAUACGCCUUAAGAGGGAAAGAUUUAUCGCCCUGGGAGGGGCCCGCGUUGGAUUAGCUUGUUGGUGGGUAACGGCCCACCAAGGCGACGAUCCAUAGCUGGUCUGAGAGGAUGAUCAGCCACACUGGGACUGAGACACGGCCCAGACUCCUACGGGAGGCAGCAGUGGGGAAUAUUGGACAAUGGGGGCAACCCUGAUCCAGCCAUGCCGCGUGCGUGAAGAAGGCCUUAGGGUUGUAAAGCGCUUUCACCGGUGACGAUGAUGACGGUAGCCGGAGAAGAAGCCCCGGCUAACUCCGUG
rnacentral:rRNA from 1 species